UACGGGGGGAGCAAGCGUUGUUCGGAUUUACCGGGCGUAAAGGGCGCGUAGGCGGCCACCGCAAGUCAGUUGUGAAAUCUCUGGGCUUAACCCAGAACGGUCAGCUGAUACUGCGGGGCUAGAGUGCAGAAGGGGCAACUGGAAUUCUCGGUGUAGCGGUGAAAUGCGUAGAUAUCGAGAGGAACACCUGCGGCGAAGGCGGGUUGCUGGGCUGACACUGACGCUGACAGCGCGAAAGCUAGGGGAGCGAACGGG
rnacentral:rRNA from 1 species